CCCCACCCUCCAGCCCAGCCCAGGAGAAGGGAGGUCAGCUGCAGGUGGAGGAAGGCUGAAAAUCUUCUCCCAGCAGAGGAGAGGGCAGUAGCAGCCCAGCUGGAGAGACUGCGACUAGACCACCUUUCCCCACGAGCUGCCCAGGUCCUCAGAAAGCUGGAGCCGCACCAGAGACAGAGGAGCAUCUACCAGCACGUCGCUGAGGAGCGGAGGCGGCGUCGAGAGCAGCAGAGGCAGCUCCCCUGCACCAGAUGCUGGAACCGCAGCAGAGGAGGUGGUGCCGGGAGCGGCGGCUGUGGCAGUGGCUGUUAGCCAACGGCGGGGAGGCCUCUCACCUGCAGACAUGCGCCUGUAAAUACAAAAUAAAGAGCUC